rnacentral:misc_RNA from 1 species
AUCAUCUCCUUCUCGCCUCUUCAUUGAUUGGUCUGAGCCCUUGCCCGGCCAAAGUCGGUUGUCCCGUGCUGCCUACCUAUCUCGAGGGCAUUUUGUUGGCUAGAACCGUCGGUUUUCCUUCGCGUGCCGCCCCCCCUCGUUGGGAGGCGGUGCGCGUCGGACCUCAAGGCAGUCGCCGUGCGUCCCACCGUCUUCAUCCCGAUGGGUGUUUACGGUGUCCGAUCCACGGCGCAACGCCUGAUAUCUCGGGUGCGGAACAUCUAGUGGGUUCGGGGCCUCGGGCCUCCGUGACCACAACUCAAAGCUUUCUACGCUUCGUGCGAACGACCGUCGGCCGAUCUCGUGCCGUGCUCUCGCAGUGCGGUUGGGGUCGUGCCGGCGUCGG